rnacentral:rRNA from 1 species
AGUGAACGUUGGCGGCGUGCCUAACACAUGCAAGUCGAACGAGAACCGAGUAGCUUGCUACUCGGGGAAAGUGGCGAACGGGUGAGUAACACGUGAGCAAUCUGCCCUCGAGUGAGGAAUAACCCCGCGAAAGCGGGGCUAAUACCGCAUGAUGCUCUGGAGCAUAAGCUUUCAGAGUUAAAGCCCCUAGGGGCGCUUGAGGAUGAGCUUGCGUCCUAUUAGCUUGUUGGUAGGGUAAUGGCCUACCAAGGUUAUGAUGGGUAGCCGGCCUGAGAGGGUGUCCGGCCACACUGGAACUGGGACACGGUCCAGACUCCUNACGGGAGGCAGCAGUGAGGAAUUUUGCGCAAUGGGCGAAAGCCUGACGCAGCGACGCCGCGUGGAGGAUGAAGGCUUUCGGGUUGUAAACUCCUGUCAGAGGUGAAGAAAACCCCCUUAGGGGGGCUUGACGGUAACCUCAGAGAAGCCCCGCUAACUA